AGCCUGCACAGCCAAUCCAAGCCUUCUACAGGGCCACUGCCCACAGGUAGAAGCUCUAAUGCUUUGAAUGUCAUUGUGUCAAUGCUAUUAUUUUGAUAUAAUUCUCAACUUUACUUAUUAUUUCUCAUCGGCAGCUGACUCAAAGGCCACCCACGUUCUAUUCACGGAGAUUGGUGAUGGCAAGGUAAGUGAACCACUGUGUUCUCUUCAUUUCUUUUCUAAUCAGCUUGCUUUGACUUGCAGUAUCAUGUGAAAGAUGGUCUAAUCAUCGGGAGCCAUCAAGCCGAGAAAAUAUUGGGCCACAAACAACCUUCCCUUGUGGUAAAGGACAUGGCCCAGACCAUAUGGGGCCGUGAAGGAUUGGCUGAACGAAGCUAUGGGGGCAAGCUAGCCCCCAAGGAUUAUAAUAAUCCCACUGCUGUAGUGCGGAAACAGCUGAGCCCAGGGAAGGUUGCUUUGAUUAUUGACACUGUGACACAUUGGGGCUCAUGCAAGGGUGUUCCUGUGAAACAAACAGUGGACAAUUUGUCCACAAUUCUGUCACAGAAAAUACAGGACAUCAGGCGGAACAAGAAGAAAGAAAACUAUAUGCUUGAAAAAUACCCCUCUUGUAAAUUAAUAAAUUAUUAAAACAAA